rnacentral:rRNA from 1 species
UUGAAGGACAGGAACACAUCGCCACAACUGAAGAGGCUUUUUGCGAAAACAAAGCAUGACGUCUUUUGCAAACCAUGUCUUCGGACUUCUGGUGAUGACUCUGAAUAACUUUGCCGAGCAUUUCAGCAUAAAGCUGGUGCUAUUCCUUCAAAGUAUCUGCUCUAUCAACUGUCGAUGGUAUAUUAUAUGUUUACCAUGGUUGUAACGGGUAACGGGGAAUUAGGGUUCGAUUCCGGAGAGGGAGCCUGAGAAACGGCUACCACAUCUAAGGAAGGCAGCAGGCGCGCAAAUUACCCAAUCCCGGCACGGGGAGGUAGUGACAAAAAAUAACAAUGCGGGACUCUUAUGAGGCUUCGUAAUUGGAAUGAGUACAUUCUAAAUCCUUUAACGAGGAACUAUUGGAGGGCAAGUCUGGUGCCAGCAGCCGCGGUAAUUCCAGCUCCAAUAGCGUAUAUUAAAAUUGUUGCGUCUAAAAAGCUCGUAGUUUGAAAACUUGCCUUGGCUUACACUAGUCCCUGUUGGGGCACCGUUUGUUGAGCGCAAAUAUAGGUAACUGUUUUUGCCGACUUCAUUGCUUGGCUUAUAAGAGUUAUCAAAUAUCACUUUGAUUAAAUUAGAGUGCUUAAAGCAAGUGUGUUACUUGGAUAUAAAUGCAUGGAAUGAUGGAAUAUGUUGUUGUUCUAUUUGUUGGUUUUUGAACGAUGAAAUGAUUGAAAGGAACUGUUGGGGGCAUUCGUAUUGUUGUGAGAGAGGUGAAAUUCUUAGACCACAGCAAGACGAACUACUGCGAAAGCAUUUGCCAAGAAUGUUUUCAUUGAUCAAGAACGAAAGUUAGAGGUUCGAAGGCGAUCAGAUACCGCCCUAGUUCUAACCAUAAACUAUGCCAACUAGCAAUUUGCUUACGUAUGUCUUACGACUAAGUGAGAGGCCACGGGAAACCAAAGUAGGGUUAUGGGGGAAGUAUGGUUGCAAAGCUGAAACUUAAAGGAAUUGACGGAAGGGCACCACCAGGAGUGGAGCCUGCGGCUUAAUUUGACUCAACACGGGAAAACUUACCUGGUCCUGACACUAGAAGGAUUGACAGAUUGAUAGCUCUUUCUUGAUUUGGUGGAUGGUGGUGCAUGGCCGUUCUUAGUUGGUGGAGUGAUUUGUCUGGUUAAUUCCGAUAACGAACGAGACUCUAGCCUAUUAAAUAACACACGGAAUCUUGUCUUCCGUGAGGUUCCUUAAUGGGAUCAAGUGUGUUUAACACUUUGAAACAGAGCAAUAACAGGUCUGUGAUGCCCUUAGAUGUUCGGGGCCGCACGCGCGCUACAUUGAGAGACAAAAUGAGUUUCC